rnacentral:piRNA from 1 species
UAAGAUAUAAAGAUGGUGUUUUCAUAC